GACGAACCGUCCGAACGUUAUUCGGAAUCACUGGGCUUAAAGGGUGCGUAGGCGGCGCAGUAAGUAGGGUGUGAAAUCCCUCGGCUUAACCGAGGAACUGCGCCCUAAACUACUGUGCUCGAGGGAGAUAGAGGUGAGCGGAACUUAGGGUGGAGCGGUGAAAUGCGUUGAUAUCAUUAGGAACUCCGGGUGGCGAAGGCGGCUCGCUGGAUCUCUUCUGACGCUGGAGGCGCGAAAAGCUAGGGGAGCAAACGGG
rnacentral:rRNA from 1 species